UUACAAGUUCACUAAUUCUUGCUCUCCUUGUUCCAGAAUUCAUCAGCUUUUGAAUGUUGAGUGACUCCCAUCAUCCAAGACUUCAUCCCAAACAACUUGAAAGUUCUUCUGUCAACAUUCAAAAUGAACUUUAACACCUCUGACAUAAUGUGUACACCCGUGUGGCAUCGUUGUGAUUCUGUUCUUGAGAAGAAAAGCGUUGAAUACAAGGGGUACCAAGACAAGACAUUUCAGAAGGAUCACAAGUAUAAGUAUCAGUAUCAGUGCCAGUAUCAGUAUCAGUAUCAGUAUCAGUAUCAGUAUCAGGUCUGACUUUUUUCUUAGUUCGUGUUAAGCUGAUACGAUUGAACGAACUCUUUUUAUUAAGAGAGAAUUGUUUUCUCUUGAAAUCGUUGUGUGCAACCCAGCAAAUACAACGUACAACCCAGCAGUCCGGUGGAGAAAGAGCCCGAAAUCCCUUUCUUCAGGACGUCUGUUCACCUAACUGACGAUCCAGCCAGCCGCGAGUACUCGCCGUGCAUCGACCAGCUGCAAGCAAGCAGGGCCCUUUCCCUGAUGAUGAUCAUUAGCUUUGAUCCUUCCGAGAGUUCGUUGACCUCUGGUGACCUCGUGGUUCUCGCCGUCCUUGGCGUGACCUUGGCCUUGACCCUGAUUGCCCUAUUCCUGUGCCGGGAAAAGUGUUGCUAUUACGUCAGCCUCUGCAGUGGCACCAGUUUCAUUGCCAGACGCAGACAAGGAGAGCUGCAGAGUCCUGAGGAUUUGGUACAGGAAGACCCUGUCUCCGACGAAAAGAAGAAUAAUCAAUCUCUUCUGCCAAACAGCGACUCGGUCAAAGUGACAGUCGAAUCCACAGUGACAGUCGAAUCCAAAGUGAGAAAGUUUCUGCUCAAACUGAAGGAAUUUGUCAAGCCAGUAUUCCACAGAUCUGAGGAAAAUCCGACCGACCCGGAAAACGUGUAGAAAGUUUUGAAAAGCAAAAACAUUCACUAAUUUUCCGGUAGACAGACAGCAUAGAGGGCACAGUCUAGGCCUGUGACAAACUGGGCCUGUGACAAACUGGGCCUGUGACAAACUGGCAUGCUUCCGUCAGAUUUACCCGUUUCUAAACUAUGCAGUCGGCUGUUGUGACUAUCAGCUCCAGACCAUCUGUGAUACACAAAGGCGUGUGUUGGCCCAAAACAUGAUGCACUUUAGCUAUAAUUUAGACUGCUUUUAUUCUCCAAUAAGGCUUUUCAUCAUUUAACUCUCGUGAAGGCUGCAACCGACUACGAGGUUGUGUGGCGAAAGAAAGAAAAAGUAAUGUGUGCCAUGUCUGAUCUACAGAAUAAAACCCACAGUUGACCAGCAUUAAUUAAGACCACCUGUUGGUUUUGUGCUCCAAAAGCUUUGGGCCUACAAGUGAGAAGACGGGGAGAGGCUGGCUUUGGGCUAUCCACUUGGUGACAAGAGAGUUCCUAUUCCUUCUCUCUAACGAUUGCCAAGUGCCUGCGUGCAAAAGGACAAACGUAGGAAUAAAAUGUAGGCCCAUAUAGUAACUUGUCCAACGAUCUAUCGUCCUGUCAGCUCAAGUUGGUAAUCAAACUCAACACUCAAAAGAAAAUCAUAAAUAGAAGAUCUAACGUCUUACCACUAGACUAAGACGUUCUAGAAAUUUCUACAGAGAGUAGUUCCUCCGUGACGAUUCCAUUUUCAUACAGGCUCCCUACUGGUUCAUUCAACUGCUUUUCAUGGAUCCUGGAGAGGAGGGAGGUGCAGCUAUGGCAUUGUGCCGCCUGCAGUGAUGCCUAUUCUCCAAACAAUCUCAACCAACCUCAACCUCAACUGCGUUUUGUUCCAUUUGUUACAGAUCUAGUCAUCCUCUUUUCCGUUUGCCAGCUGGAUUGAAUGAAUUAGAGAUCGUGAAGGGCUAUGUUCUCCCACAGUGACUACGUGAUCCUUCUGUCCCUGUACUGUGUGGCCUUGUUGACCCUGGGAGUGACCGUGGUCAAGCGGGACUUUGUGUGUCGCGUGUGUCGUCACACUAGAGGUGUGGGCUUUCAGCGUGUGUCCUUGUCUCAAGGUCGUCGAGAAACUGGGUCACAGAGUAGUCUGGUCAACGUGUCCACCACGGGACUGUGACGUCACAGCAGUUGAGGAAUGGCGGAAUUCUUUUUGGACCAGAUGCAACGAACUUCUGGAGUGUGCUCUGGUGUGGUUUGCUCCUUCUUUCCUAUCAAACAUUUAUCGUCCUUAUCUCUCCUCCUUCUUUUUUGUGUUUGUUACUCUCUUGUAACACCUCUAAUUUUCGGCACUUUUAUGACCUUAUUGUGCUGCAAGUGCUGUAAAACACUCGUCUUUCUAAAACUAAAAAAACUAACUUCGUUUUGGACCAGUAAAAGACGGGUCUCGCUUGCAUCAGUAGCGUUCACCGAUUUCUUGCUUUCAUUUUGGAAUCAGGUUUCGUGUUGCUUCUUCCGUACGCCAAAUGCCCGACAGUCGUCUGGCAUACCUUAUAGCAGCAGCACAGGCGAUCCAGGUUCGAAUCUCGAACGGUAUACUCUUGACAUGACGCUGGUUGAGGAGGCUUCGAAGAACAUUGAUUCCCGCAGGA